UACAGAGGGGGCAAGCGUUGUUCGGAAUUACUGGGCGUAAAGGGCGCGUAGGCGGCCUGUUAAGUCGAACGUGAAAUCCCCGGGCUCAACCCGGGAACUGCGUCCGAUACUGGCAGGCUUGAAUUCGGGAGAGGGAUGCGGAAUUCCAGGUGUAGCGGUGAAAUGCGUAGAUAUCUGGAGGAACACCGGUGGCGAGGGCGGGUCUCUGGGCCGAUACUGACGCUGAGGAGCGAAAGCGUGGGGAGCGAACAGG
rnacentral:rRNA from 1 species